ACGGUUACCACGGAGUGAUUCAUGACUGGGGUGAAGUCGUAACAAGGUAGCCGUAGGGGAACCUGCGGCUGGAUCACCUCCUUA
rnacentral:rRNA from 1 species